UCUUCUACAGAGUCCACAUGCAGUGUGGACAUUCUAUUUUUGUGUCCUUUAUUUUUUUCCUAUUUUAAUCUGCUGUGAGGAGACUUUCUUUUGGUGACACUUUUGAUUCAAUAGUCUUGUCUAUUUUCUCGACAGGACCCAUACUUAAUUUUUUAAAAGCUAUUUAGAGGAUUUUGUCUAAAUACUACAUCAACUGUCUGUUUCCUGCCAUUGUGCUAUCGUCGUUUUCACUGGAUUUGGAAAAGAUCUGCAAUGCAUCGUAUCCUGAUUUUACCAUCUGAUUCGUUUCACAGUUAGUUCAGUUCUUUUUUUUUUAAAAAAAGACUCUAAAGAUCAACAUUCAACACAAAGACGAUGUUUAGAGAAAACAGAAGUAAAAGAGAGACAGAGAGGGUAAAAGUCUCGGAUCUCAGCCAUGCCCUGAUACCAACAUGAUGAAAAUUUCUCACCGGUGGCUGUUGUCCAGAUGUUUACCCUGUGAUCCGCAGAUGUGCAUCUUGGGCCUGGAUGAUGUUUUUGACCUUAUUCAAGCGCCAAGGUGAUGGUGUGAAACUCUCAGUUGAGGAAACCACACCAGCUCGGCUUCACAGCUCGGUGCAUCCGUUCUGAAGUCCAGAGCAGCAUCUGCUUGUUUACAACUGGUCCGUUUCGAAAGAUGAACAAUCCAUCCUGGUUUCCUGCAAUGUUUUGAGCCGGAGAAAAAGAGAAAUGAAGCUUGUCCUAUCUGUAGUUAUCCACAUGGGACAAUCAUGAUGUUGAAACUGAUGGUACUGUUUACAUUGUUGAAAUAAACACUGAUCAAAAUGCUUGUUACGAACAUUUACAAAACUCUGAUUCUUAAUUUCAUUAUGACGGUAAACUAUAAAUACUGUUAUUUUAUCAUGUUAAAACGGACAAAGAGCAACAAAGCAGCACAUUUUCUGUUGCUGGCACAUUUGCUUAAUCCCCACACUGUAUUUUAUAAUAACACUUUACAUUAAUGUUCAUUUAACUCACAGGAUUAGCUUUAGCAGUAAAACACCAUCAGCUGUAUCGUCACGUCAAGUUUAUUUUUAUAGCACUUUUAACAACAAACACUGUUGCAAAGCCGGUUUACAGAAAAUUAAAAACUUUAAACAUGAGCUAAUUUUAUCCUUAAUUUAUCCCCAAUGCUUUUAUAUCUUUUAGGGUCCAUGUCUUUUAGGGACUGUUGAAAAUCACCAUUUUUAUCGUAAUUAUUCAAUAGUUACAUUAAUAAAGUUCCAACAAAACCAGUUCAAUCACCUCAGUGAUCUGGCUGUGCUAUUAUUUACAAAAUUCUGGAGAAGUUAAGUACAGCAGGUAUGUGUAUAAAAAUAACCAUGUAGUAAUAUCUAAUUUACAUGUCAAUCCUGAGACCAAGAUGCUGAACCUCUUCUGCUCCUCGGACCUGCCUGAUCCAUCCUGUUGCCCUGUGUCUGGUUGGAGUCUCAUCGCAUCACUCCUGUGGAGGACGGCCCCAUGUGGACAGUUGAAAGUCACACCUGGAGGACGCUCUGGACUCUUACAGUAAUGCUUUUAUGGCUGAAGACUACAGUUGACUUGCUAACUUUAGGACUGCAGUUGUCAUGAACAGUUUUGCACUCAAGUUUCCAUCAAUGAAGAGUUUAUAACAUCAACGAAACUGACUUCAUGUUAAAACUGUUAUCAUAUUGUCUCUUAUCACCCAAAUGAGGAUGGGUUCCCUUUUGAGUCUGGUUCCUCUCAAGGUUUCUUCCUCAUGUCAUCUGAGGGAGUUUUUCCUUGCCACCGUCGCCACAGGCUUCAUCAUUGGGGAUAGAUUAGGGAUAAAAUUAGCUCAUGUUUUAAGUCAUUCAAAUUCUGUAAAGCUGCUUUGCGACAAUGUCUGUUGUUAAAAGCGCUAUACAAAUAAACUUGACUUAAUUAUAGAUUAUUAGACUUUGAUUUCAUCAAAAUCAGAGAAAUGGUGAUCAAAUACCUCACUAAAAUAAAUAUCUUUGGUGAAUCUUCAUUUCAGAAGCUAUCUCAGAUCAUUACCUUCUUUAAAGUGUGUUUGAGUCACAUGCCCUUCGUUGUGGUUCCACAUCAAGCAUGCAAUCACAUCAGUUACUGCAGUUUUAUUAAAAGGUUUUAGCAACCUUGAUUACUUUGACAAGUUGACAAGAACAUUGGGACGGAUAAAAAGUAUAUUUUUUUUAUUACUGAAA